UCCUGUUCAUCAAAGGAGCACACAGACAUAAUAAAGGCUCUUAGUGUUUUACAGAGCCACAGUGCAGUGAAAAUACAACCAGAAUCAUGGACUGCAUUUCCAUACUGCUGGUUUUGGCAACUGCACCCUGUCUUUUCUGUAUUGAGCUGAAUCAGCCUCCUGUCAUGGUAAUAAAACCAGGAGAAACAUUUACCAUCGCUUGUAAGAUCACUGGAUAUUCAGCUUCAGGCGGUGGCUAUACAAACUGGAUCAGACAUUCAAGUGGAAAACCGAUGGAAUGGAUUGGAUAUUUCUAUACUUCCAGUACCAAUGGUGUCAAAGAUUCACUGAAAAAUAAGAUCAGUUUCUCAUCUGAAUCCUCCAGCAACGCAGUCAUUUUAACAGGACAAAACUUCAACACUGAAGACACAGCUGUGUAUUAUUGUGCUCGUGAUACA